CUGGUGAUGUUUGGUUCAGUUCUGGAAUUGUGCUGAAGGGGAAAGUGACCAUCACUGCAAAACCUGGCGUCAAGCUAGAAAUCCCAGACGGAGCAGUGAUUGGGAAUAAGGAUAAUUUUGGAAAAGGAAAGAGAAAACAAUACCAGAUGCCUUACAACCUGAAUUAGGGAUGAAACUGCUAAUUGCACAUGGAAGUCACCAAGAACUUGGUAAAUGUGAUUCAAUGACAAAUCUAAUGAUUAACAUGUGCGAUGUGGUAAGUUUGGUCUUACUCAGUUUUCACUUCAAAGUUCUGGUUAGAUUUGAGCGCUUGUUUUUCAUGAAGGUCGGCUGAGUAACUUGAGUAUUUUUAAUGACAAAAG